AAGAGAUUAGCUUAAUUGGUAGAGCAAUCGUUUUACACACGAUAGGUUAAGUGUUCAAGUCACUUAUUUCUUA
rnacentral:tRNA from 1 species